rnacentral:rRNA from 1 species
CACGUAGGGCGCAAGCGUUGUCCGGAAUUAUUGGGCGUAAAGAGCUCGUAGGCGGUCUGUUGCGUCCGCUGUGAAAACUCGGGGCUUAACCCCGAGCCUGCAGUGGAUACGGGCAGACUAGAGGUAGGUAGGGGAGAAUGGAAUUCCCGGUGUAGCGGUGAAAUGCGCAGAUAUCAGGAGGAACACCGGUGGCGAAGGCGGCUGCCUGGCCCACAACUGACGCUGAGGUGCGAAAGCGUGGGGAGCAAACAGG